CAACACACCAAUCAGAAUGAAGGCGGACAGGAGAGAGGCGUGUUUCAAGAUGUGUUUGACACUGUGCUUGUGGCCACAGGCAGAUGUCCUGAUUCUAAAGCAUUGGGUCUUGAUGCCGUAAGUGUUGAGACUGACGUGGAAUCUGGAAAGGUAAUCGUAGAUGAAAGAGAUGAAACGACGGUACCUC